GCCAGUUCUGCAAAGAGACGAAAUGAGCAGAGUCUCAGACAAACCCUCAAAAAAAACAACCAAGCGCUUCCUUGCGAGAAGGCCUCAGGUUGACGUCAUGGUGGGGACCAACUUGGAUUUCUGGAGGGAAACAAGAGCGAAGGUGAUGUCCAACCACUUCUGAGGGCCUCAAAGUGGACAAGCCUGAACACAAACAGGAGCAGGUGCAGCGUCUUGGUGACCAGGGUGCGGAGUCCACGAUGGCACCAACUGGAAGCUUCUCUGCACAGUCAAAAUGGGAAAAAAAAAAAACAAAAAAAAAACAAAAAAACACUUGUUUGCAUCUUGGCUCAUCUCAGAACGUUGAUCAUGACGUCAUGUUUGCUCCACCACCUGCAACAACAAACAGUCAUUUUU